rnacentral:rRNA from 1 species
GCUUGAAGGCACAUAUACUCAUGAGAUACCAGAUACCAUCUGAUCUUGGAAGCUAAGCAGGGUCAUCCCUGGUUAGAACUUGGAUGGGAGAUACCCAAAAGGUCCCAGGGUCUGUAGGCU